rnacentral:rRNA from 1 species
GGAGUUCAAAUGGCACGCGAGUCAUUGGGUUUUAGUACCCGAAGGCGAAGUGAAAUGCAAACGUAUUGUUAUUUGUGGUUGUUCCAUGAUGAAGCGAUAAGCUACUCAUGCUGUCUGGCAUUUGUAGACUACAAGCGUGAUGUUUGAGACCCGAAAGAUGGUGACCUAUGCCUAGUCAAGAUGAAGCCAGAGGAAACUCUGGUGGAUGUCUGAAGUUAUUCUGACGUGCAAAUCGAUAAUCUGAUCUGGGUAUAGGGGCGAAAGACUAAUCGAACCAUCUAGUAGCUGGUUCCUUCCGAAGUUUCCCUCAGGAUAGCAAGCGUACAUUUUUAGUUUCAUCCCGUAAAGCGAAUGAUUAGAGGCCUUGGGGCGUAUAUAGCCUCAACCUAUUCUCAAACUUUUAAUGGGUGUGAGUGUUUUUUCUCAAUUGAAAAACGCUGCUAAAUAAGUAUGCUUAGUGGGCCAUUUUUGGUAAGCAGAACUGGCGCUGUGGGUUGAACCAAUUGUUGAGUUAAAGUGCCUAAAGCUGGAAUGCGCAUGAGAUCUAUAAAGGGUGUUAGUUGCUGAAGACAGCAGGACGGUGGCCAUGGAAGUCGGAAUCCGCUA